rfam:Prunus persica cultivar Lovell chromosome G2, whole genome shotgun sequence.
UGCACAAGUAGACAUGGUGUGAUAUUGGUUCGGUUCAUAUCUUUUAUACUUUUUGGAUAUAUCCAUCCAUCCAUUCAUCCAUCCAUCCAUCCAUCACACUUCACGAAUCACAAACAAAGAUGACGAGCCGAAUCAAUAUCACUCUUGUAUGCUUGUCU